rnacentral:lncRNA from 1 species
GAGUCAGUCAGAGAGCCUUGGGCCAGAGUUCCAGGGGCUCCAGGAGUGGCUGCCAGAAAAUACAGAAAGAAGACCAUCUACAAGCCAGAGAGCAGCCUUCACGAGACACUGGAUUUCUAGAGCCUUGAUUUUGAACCUCCCAGCUUUCAGAACUGCUUCUUCUUCAGUUGACCUCUUGAAGUCUCGGAGGAAUGGCCAUUUGUCGGGGUAUGUGGGGAAGCAG